ACGAUCUUAAGGUGAGUUUGAUUUUUAACUAAAUGGUUGCUUAUCAGAGUUGUAGUAAGUUGACCUUAUCUUUUGCUGAAAGAAAGAUGCAUGGCUUCUAGUAUACCAUCUAAAAAACCCUUUAAUUCAUCAUAUUUUCAAAUAUUAUAUACUUUGCAUAAAAUUACAAGAUUUGUGUUCAUCUCCAUAAUCGUAAUCUUGACUGCAGGAUUAAGAUGGUCUUUUCGUACUUAUCGUACUUGAGUUUAUCUCAUAAUUUUACAUUGAAUCAUAAAUUCAGUAUGUAUUAGAAGCAAAAUGUUGG
rnacentral:misc_RNA from 1 species